GAUGAACGCUGGCGGCGUGCCUAAUACAUGCAAGUCGAGCGAACAGACGAGGAGCUUGCUCCUCUGACGUUAGCGGCGGACGGGUGAGUAACACGUGGAUAACCUACCUAUAAGACUGGGAUAACUUCGGGAAACCGGAGCUAAUACCGGAUAAUAUAUUGAACCGCAUGGUUCAAUAGUGAAAGACGGUUUUGCUGUCACUUAUAGAUGGAUCCGCGCCGCAUUAGCUAGUUGGUAAGGUAACGGCUUACCAAGGCAACGAUGCGUAGCCGACCUGAGAGGGUGUUCGGCCACACUGGAACUGAGACACGGUCCAGACUCCUACGGGAGGCAGCAGUAGGGAAUCUGCCGCAAUGGGCGAAAGCUUGACGGAGCAACGCCGCGUGAGUGAUGAAGGUCUUCGGAUCGUAAAACUCUGUUAUUAGGGAAGAACAAAUGUGUAAGUAACUAUGCACGUCUUGACGGUACCUAAUCAGAAAGCCACGGCUAACUACGUG
rnacentral:rRNA from 1 species